rnacentral:rRNA from 1 species
UACGUAGGGUGCGAGCGUUAAUCAGAAUUACUGGGCGUAAAGCGUGCGCAGGCGGUUUUGUAAGCCAGAUGUGAAAGCCCCGGGCUUAACCUGGGAAUGGCAUUUGGGACUGCAAGGCUUGAGUGCGGCAGAGGAGACUGGAAUUCCUGGUGUAGCAGUGAAAUGCGUAGAUAUCAGGAGGAAUACCGAUGGCGAAGGCAGGUCUCUGGGCUGACACUGACGCUCAUGCACGAAAGCGUGGGGAGCAAACAGG